UCGAGUUAUCGAAACAAAAAUAUUUAUGAAGCAACUUACGAAUGAAAUUAUCACUUUGUGUCGUUUCCAACGUUACCGAUUUGACAUAUAAUCAAAUUGAAUAUACAAGAUCAACUAUGUCUUAUUUUUUUAUUAUUUUUGCUUUACCACAGACUAAAUGGAGGAUAUCAAAUACAUUUUCAUCAAUUUUUUUUAAAACUACAAUGUAUCUUAAUUUUUUUAUAAAAAAUAUAAAUAUUACAUUUUUUACUUUACAAUAUAUCUAUAAAAUGUAAUACUUCAUAUAUACAUGAUACAUAAAUUAUAUAUGUAACAGAAAAUUUACUUUUAAUUCCAACUUUUAGUAAUAUUAUAAUAUUAUUCUGAAUAGAAUCAGUAGAAAAGAUAACAUUAAAAUGAUAAAAGUCUGAGAUAUGGAACAAAAAGUACAUGAAAUGAAUAUUAGAUUUAUUCUACAUCUCGUUUGUGGCGAAAUAUAAUUAUCAGUAAAAAAAAAAUGCUAAAAUAUAACUUUUAUACAACAAAUUUUUUGAAUAAUUCUUUCACAUAUGAAUUAUCAUAAAAAAAAACGUCAAAAAAACGAAAAAUAUGACAAAAAAAUAAAGUAUAAUUAUGAUUACUA